GGAUGUGAAGACGACCUGGCUGUGACAUCUGUCACCCAUUGGUCACUAGGGCUGAUUUAACUGAUCAGCCUGGGUAGACUGGUGUCCCCUUCCUCGCCAUUCUGAGUUUGGCUCUCAGAAGCUGUGUGUUCAAUCAAAGAGGAUGGCCUUCCCCAGAUAGAGGAGGUCAGGUGUUGAGUCAAGGAUUCACGACAGCUGCACUCUUCUGUCAGAAUUUCCAGGCAAGCUCUCGAAGGCUUGUGUGAGAGAGUCCCAGGAGUGAAGUCUUUCAGAAAACUUACUUU
rnacentral:snRNA from 1 species